rnacentral:rRNA from 1 species
CAACGCGUAAAGAACUUGCCUCACAGUUAGGGACAACAUUUGGAAACGAAUGCUAAUACCUGAUAUUAUGAUUUUAGGGCAUCCUAAGAUUAUGAAAGCUAUAUGCGCUGUGAGAGAGCUUUGCGUCCCAUUAGCUAGUUGGAGAGGUAACGGCUCACCAAGGCGAUGAUGGGUAGCCGGCCUGAGAGGGUGAACGGCCACAAGGGGACUGAGACACGGCCCUU